UGGACCUCAGAUCAGGCAAGAGCACCCGCUGAGUUUAAGCAUAUCACUAAGCGGA
rnacentral:rRNA from 1 species